GCUGUUGCUAUCGCUUUCGGUACUCUUCUCUGCCACACACUUCCUGUGCCUUUGCCUUCCUCUGGUGUCAUUCGGCAGGAAGACCGAAGAGAGAAAAAAGGAGGCAUGAGCACCCUCUUGGGACCUACAAUCAGGGAGGAAGGUUACUUUCCUUCAGAGUUUUAAUCACCUGAAGGCCCUGGCGGCUGCCACUGUCACUGUCUCUACCUCUGUCACCACCACUGCUGCCACAGGAUUGCCUGUGGGCUAGAACAUGAAAGUACGAAGAAAAGAAGAAAGAAAAACUGGGGAUCCCCUUAACUAUCGCUGAGGGCUCAGAAGUGGAAAAAUAUGAAGAUCCAUUGCUGAUGGGAAUCCUGCCCUAAGCAAAUGGUGGAGGACUUACAACUUCUCAGGUGUCUCCCUUUGUGGGAGGAAUCCCAGCUAUAGCCUAGUGGACCAUUCACCCAGGAAUCUUCAAUCAUUCAUUCAACCCUAACAUUUAUAGGCGCACCGGCUACAUGUGGAGGAGGUAGCCAGGGGCUAGAUCAUGUAUAUAUUGCCAUGCAGGCCAUGGUAAGGACUUUGGAUUUUAUUCUGAGUACCAUGGGAAGCCACUGAAAAACCUUGCCUAAGAUAAUGGGUUUCUGUUUUGCCUAAGGCAAAUUAACUUUUUACUGAAGUAUACUAUACAUUACGGGAAAGUACACAAAUCGUAAGCUUGAUGAAUUUUCAUGAUGUAAUCGCAUCCAUAUCACUAGCACCCAGGUCAAUAAACAGAUCAUUACCAGAACCCCAGAACCCUUCCUUAUGCCCCUUUCCAGUAAUGCCGCUCCCCCAACUCAAGGGUAACUGCCAUCCUGACUUCUAUCACCAAAGAUUAGUUUUGCCUGUUUAUAUAAAACUUUAUAUAAAUGCAAUCACAAUAUGUAUUCAUUUGUGUCUGGCUUCUUUUUCAUUUAAUAUUAUGUUUAGGAGUUUCAUCAUUGUUUAGCAAUAGUUUAUUGGUGCUAUACAGAAGUUGAUUGCGUGAUCACACCACAAUUUACUUAUCCAUUCUACCGUUGAUGGACAUAUGAGUAAUUUCCAGUUUGGAACUACUACAAACAGUGCUGUUAUGAACAUUCUAUUACAUGUCUUUGGUGAACAAAUAUAUUCACUCCUGUUUGAAAUAAACUUAAGAAUGGAACUUAUGGAUCAUAAGGUAUGUGUAUGCUCAGAUUUACUAGAUACUGCCAAAUAUAUUCUUUCCAAAGAUAAAUUAACAUCCAAUGGUGUCAUUUUUGGACAUCUCAGGCAAUAUUCCUUAGUGUUAUAUAGUACAUGGCACAGAGACAAUAUUCUUAGUUUUGUUGCAUAUAAAAUGAGCAUAAUAACAUCUGCUUAGCUGAUCUCACAGGGAUACUGCAAGAAUCAAACGAAAAAAUAGGCCAGGUGUGAUGGCUCACGCCUGUAAUCCCAGCACUUUGGGAGGCCGAAGCGGGCAGAUCACCUCAGGUCAGGGAGGCCGAAGCGGGCAGAUCACCUCAGGU